AUGCAGCUGAAGAGUCCCAGAUAGGAUGAAACGUGCGUCCUAGAU
rnacentral:hammerhead_ribozyme from 1 species